rnacentral:rRNA from 1 species
CGCGUAGGUGGGAGAGAAAGUCAGAUGUGAAAUUCUUAGGCUCAACCUGAGAACUGCAUUUGAAACUUCUUUUCUUGAGGUUAGACGGAGAAAACAGAAUUCCACAAGUAGCGGUGAAAUGCGUAGAUAUGUGGAAGAAUACCGGUGGCGAAGGCGGUUUUCUAGUUUAUACCUGACACUGAGGCGCGAAAGCAAGGGGAUCAAACA